GUCCAUGCGAUGAUGAAAACAUCGGUUCUCGUCCGAUCACGGAAGUUAAGCAUCAUCGGGAGUGGUAAGUACUUGGAAGGGUGAUCACCUGGGAACAACACGUGCCGUU